ACUGGCAGAAGACCUCAGACUUCCAAAAAAGGGCAAGAAAACCUCCACAUAACUGGGUAGAACAAAAGGGGAAAAAAGAAAGAGAAAAAAGAGAAUAAAUGAAUCAGGAUGGUCCCAGCUGUGAAAAGGAAAGGAAUCCACACACCAGAAGGCCACCUAACAGGCAUGGAGAUCUGCCAUAACAGAAGGGGAGCCUCAAAACCUUGAAGAAAAGCACAGCAGCUGGACUAAGGAAUGCAAGGCAGAGAGAGAGCCAUGCAGCUGACUGGAACCACAGCCCAGCAUACCAUAGCUGAGACACUUUGGCAGGGGCUGGAUGCUGAGGCUCAGGCUACAGUGGUCAGUCUCAGGGAGAGGACCAGAGUUGGCUGUGUGGAAACAGCCUGAGGGAGCUAGAGAGUGAUGCGCCUGGUCCUGCCAAAGAAGAAAGGUGCCAUUUUUGAGGAGUGUGAGAGGAGGGAAGGUGGAACUCCCAUAGGAACUUCCUUCUUUGCAUACACAUAAAGAUUCAAGUGGAAGGGAACCUCUUGUGUGGGCUGCAGGGGCAGGUACAAACCACUGCACCAUCUUGGACUCCAGAAGUAGGCACAGCUCAGCACCAUUGAGAUUCUCAUGACCAGGCACCACCUGCCUCCCCAAUCAACCCAGGUAUUGCCACCACAGAAGCACCUGCAACUGAGCACUGCCCAUUGCCCCCAGCUCCCUAAGGGUCACUGCCACUGCUGAGAUCCCUAAAGUUCAGGCUGUUGCUCCCACCUACCCAUGGGUGACCAGAAGCCAACCAUUGCUUCCCCCUCCCUGAAGUACAGACAGGCCAUGCACCUGCACACCUUAUCAAAGGGCUGACAGUGUGGACACACUGAAGAAAUAGAGAGCAAGGAUCCAAACCAAAAGCAGCCCUAGUGACAAAAAUAAUAAUAAUACACAAGCUACUCAGGGAUACUCCUGCGUAUAAAUGGCCCUCCAAAACUGUAGUAGAUCAUUGUUUUCCAUAAACUCACAGAGUAGGAAAAACAUAAGCAAAAUGAAGAGGUACAAGAACCAUUCUCAGUUAAAAGAAAAGGAGAUUCCCCUGAAGGAGCUAACAAUGAAACAGACCUCUGCAGUCUAAUAAACACUGAGUUCAAAAAGAGGUAAUGAAAAUAAUGAAUUAAGAAAGGUUAUCAGCAAUAAUGCAUAUUACUUUAAAAAGGAUCUAGAAAUUAUGAUAAAGAACUAAGAAAAAUUAGAAAAUGUAUUUGCAGAGACAAAAGCUGAGCUAAAGGCAUUGAACAUCAGAAUUAAUAAUGCAGAGGAAUAAAUAAGUGACUUGGAGGCUAGAAAGGUGGAAAUCACCCACUCAGGACAUCAGACAGAAAACCAAAUCAAAAUUUUAAAAUGAAAGCAAUAUAAGAGAUCUAUGAGAUAAUAUAAAGCAUGCCAAUCUACACAUAAUAGGGAUUCCAGAAGGAGAAGAAAGAGAAAAGAGGAUUGAAAUAAUAUUUGAAGGAAUUAUGGCUUAAAACUUUACCAAUGUAAAGAAGGAAACAGAUAUCCAGACACAGGAAGCACAGAAGACCCUAAACAAGAUGAACCCAAACAGACUUACACCAAGACAUAUUAUAAUAAAAAUGGCAAAAGUUAAAGAUAAAGAAGAGAUUCUAAAGGCAGCAAGAGAAAAACAAGAGUUAGUUACAAGGAAACUCCCAUAAGACUAUCAGCUGAUUUCUCUACAAAACAGGCCAGAAGAGAGUGGCGAGAUAUAUUCAAAGUUCCAAAAGAGAAAAUUUUGCCUGGAAUACUCCACCCAGCAAGAUUGUCAUUUAAAAUAAAAGGAGAAAUAAAGAAUUUCUCAGACAAGCAAAAACUAAAAGAACACAGGAAUACUAAACCUAUCUUAAAAGAAAUAUUGAAAUAUCUCCUCUAAUGGGAAAGAAUUAAGAAGAUAUAGGAUACUUUCACCUAUCUGUGAAAGCAAUGAUAAAUGCAUCAAAGAGUAAAGGAUAAACAUGAAGAUGUAAAAAAGGAGAUCAGAACCAAAAAAUGUAGGGAAGGAAUGUAAGAAAAUCUACACUCCUUUUUUUAGAAAGUGUAUAUAAAUAGCCUAUAUGACUGUCAGUCUAAAGCAAGCAUAUAUAGGAACGAUUUAACAUACUUGAAAAACAGGCCAACCACAAAUCAAAAAUAAAAAUAGAUUCACAAAACCAAAAGGAAAAGCAUGAACGUAAAAUAAAAGGAAAUCAUCAAAACACAAAAAAAGAACAAAAGAAUGGAACAAAAAGAAAUAGAAUCAACUGGAAAACAAGGUUUAAAAUAGCAAUAAAUACCUAUCUUUCAACAAUUACUUUAAAUGUCAGUGGACUGAAUGCUCCAAUCAAAUGACAUAGAAUGAAAGACUGAAUUAAAAAAAAAAGCCUACAAUAUGUUGCCUACAAGAGACCCACUUAGGGCAAAGGACACACCUAGAUUGAAAGUGAGAGGAUGGAAAAAGACAUAUCAUGCAAUGGAAAGGAUAAGAAAAUGCAAAUCACAAUACUCAUAUCAGACAAAAUAGACUUAAAACAAAGGCCAUAAAAAAGAUAAAGAAGGACACUAUUAAUGAUAAAAAUAUCAAUUCAAGAAGAGGAUAUUACACUUGUCAACAUAUAUGCCCCUGAUAUAUGAACACCUAAAUACAUAAAACAAAUACUAAUGAAAAUAAAAGUAGAAAUUGAUGGCAAUACAAUAACAGUAGAAGACUUUAACACCCCACUCACUCAAUAGACGGAAAAUCAAUAAGGUAACUGAGAUCCCAAAUUACACAAUAGAACAGUUAGACCUAAUUGAUAUUUUCAGGACGUUACAUCCAAAAAACCCAGAAUAUACAUUCUUUUGAAGUGCACAUGGAAUAUUCUCUAGGAUUAGCCACAUAUUGGGCAAAAAACUAACCUCAAUAAAUUUAAGGAUAUAUUCGAUUCCAGAUAUAAGUGAUAUCAUAUGGUAUUUGUCUUUAUGACUCUCUUCACUUAGUAUGAGAGUCUCUAGUUCCAUCUAUGUUGCUGCAAAUGGCAUGAUUUUAUUCUUUUUUAUGGCUAAAUAGUAUUCCAUUGUGUAUAUAUACCACCUCUUCUUAAUCCAAUCAUCUGUCGAUGGACAUUUAGGUUGUUUCCAUGUCUUGGCUAUUGUGAAUAGUGCCGCAGUGAACAUAUGAGUUCAUGUCUUUUUCAAGGAAAGUUUUGUCUGGAUAUAUGCCCAAGAGUGGGAUUGCUGGGUCAUAUGUCAGUUCUAUGUAUAGUUUUCUGAGAUGCCUCCAUACUGUUUUCCAUAGUGGUUGUACCAAUUUACAUUCCCACCAACAGUGAAGGAGGGUUCCCUUUGCUCCACAUCCUCUCCAGCAUUUGUUAUUUGUGACUUAUUGAUACAGCACAAAUGAACCUUUCCACAGAAAAGAAAAUCAUGGACAUGGAGAAAAGGGCAGGGAGAGGGAGUGAGGUGGAUUGGGAAUUUGAGGUUAAUAGACGCAAACUAUUGCCUUUGGUAUGGGUAAGCAAUGAGAUUCUACUAUAUAGCACUGGGAACCAUGUCUAGUCACUUAUGAUGGAGCAUGAUAAUGUGAGAAAAGAGAAUGUAUACAUGUAUGUAUAACUGGAUUACCUUGCUGUAGAGUAGAAAAUUGACAGAACACUGUAAACCAGCUAUACAGGAAAAAAUAAAAAUCAUUAUAAAAAAUUUAAGAAUAUAGAAAUUAUUCCAAGCAUUCAUUUUCUAUGAUCAUAAUGGCAUGAAACUAGAAAUCAACCACAGGAAAAGAGAAUAAACUGACUACAUGGAGACUAAACAACAUGCUACUAAAAAACUAAGGUCAAUGAGGAAAUAAAAAAGUAAAUUAAAAUUACCUUGAGACAAAUGACAAUGAAAAUACAACCAUACAAAACAUGGGAUGCUGCAAAAGCCAUUCUUAAAUGGAAGUUCAUAGCAAUACAAGCCUUCCUCAAAAAUAAGAAAUGAAAAGUGAGAAAUCUCAAUGGAUUCUUCAGAAAUACAAAAAAAUAAGAGAAUUAUAUAAACAAUUAUAUACCAACAAAUCCUACAAUCUAGAAGAAGUGGACAACUUUCUGGAAACAUAUAGCCAACCAAAACUGAAUCAAGAAGAAAUAGAUCAGUAGAAUGAAAGAGACUGAUCACUAGAAGUGAAAUGAAAUAUGUAAUGAAAAAACUCUACUAACAAAAGUCCAGGACCAGAUGGUGUCACAGGCAAAUUCUACCAAAUAUACAAAGAAGAAUUUUUACCGAUCCUUCUUAAACUCUUCUAAAAGAUUGAAGAAGAAGGAACACUCCCAAAGACAUUCAAUGAAGCCACCAUCACCCUAAUACCAAAACCAGACAAAGAUACUACCAAAAAGGAAAAUUAUAGGCAAGUAUCUUUCAUGAAUAUAGAUGCAAAAAUUCUCAACAAAUUUUAGCAAGCCAAAAUCCAACAACACUUUAAAAAGAUAUUCAUGACCAACCCCGCCAUGACCAAGUGGGGUUCAUCCCCAGCUCACAAGGGUGGUUCAACAUCAGCAAAUCGGUGUAAUAUAUGACAUUAGCAAAAGUAAAGUCAAAUACCACACAAUCAUCUCAAUAAAUGCAGAAGGAGCAUUUGACAAAAUUCAACAUCCAUUCAUUAUUGAAAAAAAAACUCUUACCACAAAGUGGGUAAAGAGGGAAUGCAUCUCAACAUAAUAAAAGCCAUUUUAUGACAAACUUAUAGCCAAUAUCAUAUUCAACAGAGAAAAGCUGAAAACCUCCCUUCUAAAAUCUGCAACAAGAUAAAUAUUGCCCAUUCUCACUACUCUUAUUCAACAUAGUAGUGGAAGUAGUAGCCACAGCAAUCAGACAAAAAUAAAAAUAAUAAAAGAAAAAGAAAGAAAUGGUAUCCAAAUUGUAAAAGAAGAGGUAAAAUUGUCACUCUAUGCAGAUGAUAUGAUACUAUGUUUAGAAAACUCUAAUGACUUCACACAAAAACUGCUUGAACUGAUCAACAAAUUCAGCCAAGUGGCAAGAUACAAUAUGAACAUUUAGAAAUCAGUUGCAUUUUUGUAUAAUCACAAUGAAAUAUGAGAAAGGGGAUAUAAAAAAACAAUAAUUUUUAAAGUCACACCAAAAAAAAAAAAAACCACCUAAGAAUAAACCAGACCAAAGAAGUGAAAGACAUAUGCUGAGAACUAUAAAAGAUUAAUCAGGGAAAUUAUAGCGGAUUCAAAAAAAUGGAAAGAUAUCCUAUGCUCCUGGACCGAAUGAAUUAAUAUUAUUAAAAUGCCCAUACUACCCAAAGCAAUUAUAGAUUUAAUGCAAUCCCUAUAAAACUACCCCUGAAAUUUUUCAUAGAACUAGAACAAAUAAUCCUAAAAUUUAUAUGCAACCAUUAAAGACACAGAAUUGCCAAAGCAAUCCUGAGGGAAAAAACAACACAGGAGGCAAAGCUCUCCCAGAUUUCAGACAAUAUUAAAAAGCUAUAGUAAUCAAGGCAAUCUGGUACUGAUACAAAAACAGACAAUCAAUGGAACGGAAGAGAAAGCCCAGAAAUAAACCCAGACAUCUGUGGUCAAUUAAUCUUUGACAAAGGAGGCAAGAAUAUAAAAUGGGAAAAAGGCAAGUCUCUUCAGCAAGUGGUGCUGUGAAAACUGGACAGUUGCAUGUAAAUCAGUGAAACUAGAACACACCCUCACACCAUGAACAAAAAUAAACUCAAAGUGCCUUAAAGACUUACGUAUAAGACAAGACACCAUCAAACUCCUAGAAGAGAACAUAGACAAAACAUUCUCUGACAUAAACCAUACAAAUAUUUCCUUAGAUCAGUCUCCCAAGACAAUAGAAAUAAAAAUAAACAAAUGUGACCUAAUCAAACUUACAAGCUUUUAACACAGCAAAGGAAACCAUAAAAAAAAAAAAAAAGACAACUACCGAAUGGGAGAAAACAAUUGCAAACAGUGCGACUGACAAAUGUUUCAUCUCCAAAAUAUAUAUAUAUAUUUACAUAACAACCCAACAACAAAAAACCAACAACCCAAUUGAAAAAUGGGCAGAAAACCUAGACAUUUUUCCAAAGAAGACAUACAGAUGGCCAGUAGGCUCAUGAGAAAAUGCUCAACAUUGCUAAUGAUUAAAGGAAUGCUUGGAGUUCCUGUCGUGGCACAGUGGUUAACGAAUCUGACUAGGAACCAUGAGGUUGCAGGUUCAAUCCCUGGCCUUGCUCAGUGGGUUAAGGAUCCAGCGUUGCCAUGAGCUGUGGUGUAGGUCGCAGAUGCGGCUUGGAUCCCGCAUUGCUGUGGUUCUGGCAUAGGCCAGCAGCUACAGCUCUGAUUGGACCCCUAACCUGAGAACCUCCAUAUGCCA
rnacentral:lncRNA from 1 species